rnacentral:rRNA from 1 species
UACGUAGGGGGCUAGCGUUGUCCGGAAUCAUUGGGCGUAAAGCGCGUGUAGGCGGUUCGGUAAGUCCGCUGUGAAAGUCGGGGGCUCAACCCUCGGAUGCCGGUGGAUGCUGUCGAGCUUGAGUACGGAAGAGGCGAGUGGAAUUCCUGGUGUAGCGGUGAAAUGCGCAGAUAUCAGGAGGAACACCAAUUGCGAAGGCAGCUCGCUGGGACGUUACUGACGCUGAGACGCGAAAGCGUGGGGAGCAAACAGG